rnacentral:rRNA from 1 species
GACGAACGCUGGCGGCGUGCUUAACACAUGCAAGUCGAACGGAAAGGCCCUGCUUUUGUGGGGUGCUCGAGUGGCGAACGGGUGAGUAACACGUGAGUAACCUGCCCUUGACUUUGGGAUAACUUCAGGAAACUGGGGCUAAUACCGGAUAGUAGCUCCUGCUGCAUGGUGGGGGUUGGAAAGUUUCGGCGGUUGGGGAUGGACUCGCGGCUUAUCAGCUUGUUGGUGGGGUAGUGGCUUACCAAGGCUUUGACGGGUAGCCGGCCUGAGAGGGUGACCGGCCACAUUGGGACUGAGAUACGGCCCAGACUCCAACGGGAGGCAGCAGUGGGGAAUAUUGCACAAUGGGCGGAAGCCUGAUGCAGCAACGCCGCGUGCGGGAUGACGGCCUUCGGGUGGUAAACCGCUUUCGCCUGUGACGAAGCGUGAGUGACGGUAAUGGGUAAAGAAGCACCGGCUAACUACGUG